GACGAACGCUGGCGGCGUGCCUAAUACAUGCAAGUCGAGCGAAUUUUUGGGAGCUUGCUCCCGAAGGUUAGCGGCGGACGGGUGAGUAACACGUGGGCAACCUACCUAUAAGACUGGGAUAACUUCGGGAAACCGGAGCUAAUACCGGAUAAUUCUUCUUCACUCAUGUGAGGAAGUUGAAAGAUGGCAUCUCGCUAUCACUUAUAGAUGGGCCCGCGGCGCAUUAGCUAGUUGGUAGGAUAAUGGCCUACCAAGGCAACGAUGCGUAGCCGACCUGAGAGGGUGAUCGGCCACACUGGGACUGAGACACGGCCCAGACUCCUACGGGAGGCAGCAGUAGGGAAUCUUCCGCAAUGGACGAAAGUCUGACGGAGCAACGCCGCGUGAGUGAUGAAGGUUUUCGGAUCGUAAAACUCUGUUGUUAGGGAAGAACACGUACCGGAGUAACUGCCGGUACCUUGACGGUACCUAACCAGAAAGCCACGGCUAACUACGUGCCAGCAGCCGCGGUAAUACGUAGGUGGCAAGCGUUGUCCGGAAUUAUUGGGCGUAAAGCGCGCGCAGGCGGUCUUUUAAGUCUGAUGUGAAAGCCCCCGGCUCAACCGGGGAGGGUCAUUGGAAACUGGGAGACUUGAGUGCAGAAGAGAAGAGUGGAAUUCCACGUGUAGCGGUGAAAUGCGUAGAGAUGUGGAGGAACACCAGUGGCGAAGGCGACUCUUUGGUCUGUAACUGACGCUGAGGCGCGAAAGCGUGGGGAGCAAACAGGAUUAGAUACCCUGGUAGUCCACGCCGUAAACGAUGAGUGCUAAGUGUUAGAGGGUUUCCGCCCUUUAGUGCUGCAGCAAACGCAUUAAGCACUCCGCCUGGGGAGUACGGCCGCAAGGCUGAAACUCAAAGGAAUUGACGGGGGCCCGCACAAGCGGUGGAGCAUGUGGUUUAAUUCGAAGCAACGCGAAGAACCUUACCAGGUCUUGACAUCCUCUGACAACUCUAGAGAUAGAGCGUUCCCCUUCGGGGGACAGAGUGACAGGUGGUGCAUGGUUGUCGUCAGCUCGUGUCGUGAGAUGUUGGGUUAAGUCCCGCAACGAGCGCAACCCUUGAUCUUAGUUGCCAGCAUUCAGUUGGGCACUCUAAGGUGACUGCCGGUGACAAACCGGAGGAAGGUGGGGAUGACGUCAAAUCAUCAUGCCCCUUAUGACCUGGGCUACACACGUGCUACAAUGGAUGGUACAAAGGGCAGCAAAACCGCGAGGUCGAGCGAAUCCCAUAAAACCAUUCUCAGUUCGGAUUGUAGGCUGCAACUCGCCUACAUGAAGCCGGAAUCGCUAGUAAUCGUGGAUCAGCAUGCCACGGUGAAUACGUUCCCGGGCCU
rnacentral:rRNA from 1 species